AUUGUGCCCCAUGUCAUCAGCCUUGGCUCCGGUCUCCCUGCCCAGUGCCGCGCUGGACUGGGCCUUGGCCUGGACCAGGUGGUCGUUUCUGCUCUACUUCCCCAAGUAAGGCCCCUCCUUCUGGUUCUCCGGGUUCCAGAGAGGGACAGGAAGUGUCAGCACCCGCCUCCUCCAGCAAGAAAGUGCCAUCAGAGGAGGGGCCUGGAAAGUCAGAGGAACCAGGGACUAAUGACUACAUGAGCAGAGGUUUCUGUACAAUUCAGCAGUGGAGAGAAAAGGGCCAACAACAGACACUUGCUGUAGGCUGUAGAGUAAACCAUCUUUAUUUCUUUUGGUUAAAAACAAUGGAUUUGAAUCUGGCAUUUCUGCGUACGUCUCAUUCCAUAUGUACAGUACAUUGAUGAUGUACACCUAGCAGUAAAAACAAAUAUCUGAAAGGAAAACACACUGAAAAAGUGGCUUCAACAAAGGUGGCUGUGCAGGGCAGGCCAUGCACCGAGCACAGGAGGCUCAGUAGAAGCAGACAGUAUGCAGAAAGGCCCGGCCACUCUUCUCCUCGAACUCCUGCAGCAGCUCGUCGAUUUCAUUCUCCAUGUCCUCAGUGUGCUGGAUCUGGGAAAAGCACGGCCUUGAGUGAACCCGGGCAUUGUGACGCGCCUUCCCUGACCCUGCCCUCCACUGAUCUUCACUUCUGCAGGGACCCAGGCUUCAGGAUAGCUCCCUCACAGCCUGUUCCUACCAGACAUAUACAACAUAUCAUAGGAGUACCCCAUAUUGGGAGUGGGACGGCUAGAUUCAAAGGGAGGCCUGGACCCCAAGGCUGGAACUCAGGUUCUGUUCUCAGGCGUCGUAGGUACAUGAAAGCCUCAUCAACCAGUGCUAUCCCAAAUCUGCAAUGAGUGAAGUGAGGCACACAGAUACCGGCAUGCAUUUUCCUACAGUCGUCCAGUGUGAAUGCUGACUAUGCUUUGUGCACUGCAGCAUCAACUUCACAUCUGGCCUCCACCCUCCAGACACCUAUUGGUUCUUCUCCUGGUUGUGAAAACUUAAAAGGUGACCAGGCAUUGCCAGUAGUAGUCCCUUGAAUACUUGAAGUGAAGAAGGCUGGAUGUUGAACACACUGUUCUGGCAUGGCUACACAGUCUCCUUGGUCUCAGCCCUUUCUCCAGAUCAUCAGCUAGACCACAAGGUCAACUGCUAGAGCUUCAAUAACACUAAGAGUGAAAGCAGUGUGGAGUUUAGCAGGAGUUUGGAUCCCCCACGCGAACUUCCCCAUCAGCCUUCACUUGGUAAGCCAAAAGGAAAUCAAUUCUGCCACAGUCAGCUAAUCACAGUUCUUAAGGGCAAAAGUCAGGGAAAGGGGCUGGAGAGAUGGCUCAGCGGUUAUGACUGACUGCUCUUCAGGAGGUCCUGAGUUCAAUUCCCAGCAACCACAUGGUGGUUUACAACCAUCUGUAAUGAGAUCUGACGCCCUCUUCUGAUGUGUCUGAAAACAGCUGUACUUACAUAUAAUAAAUAAAUCUUUUUUUUUUAAAA